rnacentral:rRNA from 1 species
GACGAACGCUGGCGGCGUGCUUAACACAUGCAAGUCGAACGGAAAGGCCCUGCUUUUGUGGGGUGCUCGAGUGGCGAACGGGUGAGUAACACGUGAGUAACCUGCCCUUGACUUUGGGAUAACUUCAGGAAACUGGGGCUAAUACCGGAUAGGAGCUCCUGCUGCAUGGUGGGGGUUGGAAAGUUUCGGCGGUUGGGGAUGGACUCGCGGCUUAUCAGCUUGUUGGUGGGGUAGUGGCUUACCAAGGCUUUGACGGGUAGCCGGCCUGAGAGGGUGACCGGCCAAGUGGGGACUGGGAGCCGGCCCAAACCCCUAGGGGGGGGAGGGGUGGGGAAUUUUGCACAAGGGGGGAAGGCGUGAGGCAGAACCCCCGCGGGGGGGAGGGGGCCCUUGGGUUUGAAACCCGUUUUCGCCGGUAGCGAGGGGGGGGGGACGGAAAUGGGGAAAAAAGCCCCGGCAAACUAGGU